rnacentral:rRNA from 1 species
UACGAAGGGCCCAAGCGUUGCGCGGAAUCAUUGGGCUUAAAGCGUACGUAGGCGGGAACGCAGGCGUCUUGUGAAAGCCCUCGGCUCAACCGAGGAAUUGCUUGGCGAACCGCGUUUCUUGAGGCGAGUAGGGGCUGUCGGAACGCUAGGUGGAGUGGUGAAAUGCGUUGAUAUCUAGCGGAACGCCGAAGGAGAAAUCAGGCAGCUGGGCUCGUACUGACGCUGAGGUACGAAAGCGUGGGGAGCGAACGGGAUUAGAUACCCUCGUA